UUUUAUGGAGAGUUUGAUCCUGGCUCAGGAUGAACGCUGGCGGCGUGCCUAAUACAUGCAAGUCGAGCGAACGGACGAGAAGCUUGCUUCUCUGAUGUUAGCGGCGGACGGGUGAGUAACACGUGGAUAACCUACCUAUAAGACUGGGAUAACUUCGGGAAACCGGAGCUAAUACCGGAUAAUAUUUUGAACCGCAUGGUUCAAAAGUGAAAGACGGUCUUGCUGUCACUUAUAGAUGGAUCCGCGCUGCAUUAGCUAGUUGGUAAGGUAACGGCUUACCAAGGCAACGAUGCAUAGCCGACCUGAGAGGGUGAUCGGCCACACUGGAACUGAGACACGGUCCAGACUCCUACGGGAGGCAGCAGUAGGGAAUCUUCCGCAAUGGGCGAAAGCCUGACGGAGCAACGCCGCGUGAGUGAUGAAGGUCUUCGGAUCGUAAAACUCUGUUAUUAGGGAAGAACAUAUGUGUAAGUAACUGUGCACAUCUUGACGGUACC
rnacentral:rRNA from 1 species